rnacentral:rRNA from 1 species
GAUCAUGCUCAGGAUGAACGCUAGCUACAGGCUUAACACAUGCAAGUCGAGGGGCAGCGGGAUUGAAGCUUGCUUCAAUUGCCGGCGACCGGCGCACGGGUGAGUAACGCGUAUCCAACCUUCCGUACACUCAGGGAUAGCCUUUCGAAAGAAAGAUUAAUACCUGAUGGUAUCUUAAGCACACAUGUAAUUAAGAUUAAAGAUUUAUCGGUGUACGAUGGGGGUGCGUUCCGUUAGGUAGUAGGG